UUAAAUAAGUAAAAAUCUCAUAAAACUGGAUAAAACUGUCACGACUUGAUACAGAAGUUUUCCAAAACCAGUGUGUCACUGAGUACAUGAGCAUCUAUACGAAAACAAAGUCUGAUACACAUUCUAAGAUACAAGAAACUGAAUAAGUAAAACUGAGGGAUAGGGGAGGAGAGUGAAGGUCUGCGUACGCCAGGGCAGCUACCUCGAAAAAUCUCCGAGUGACUGUAAAUUCUGAGAAUCCGCAACCACCAUGUCAGGAAACACCUGGAUCUGCACAUAGAGUGUAGGGUGUAGCGUGAGUACAACCAACUUAGUAAGUAACAAGUCUAACUAUUGGGCUGAAAGCAGUAACGAGCUUCAUAAGUACCGUUCAAUUAUAGAAUUUCAGUACAGAAAUGUUGGCAUGCUUCCAUGUUUAACAGUUAAAGCUCAAAUUUGUAAGAUAUGUCAAGUUUAAUUGAAACAAGAUAUGGUACAUCUCGAUAUCUACAUGUCAGCUAUGUAUGCCAACUGUAGUACAAAACAGUGAUGAAACCAUAUGCAUACUCUCACAGUAUCAAUCAUUCAGACCUCAUAUUCACUCUAUCCUCACAGUCACUCGUUCCUCACAGUCACUCCAUCCUCACAGUCACUCAAUCCUCCAUAUCGCUCGGCACUCACACUCGCACUUAGUAAGUACCUGCGCUCACUAUAGGUGUGCACACUCCGGAGGGGCAAAUCCAGCCCAAGCGCUACAAUAAGCCAAUCAUGGCAUUAAUCAAUAAAACAUGUUAUCGUGUGCAGCCCGAUCCCAUAAAUAUCCUCACAAUCAGGCCCUCGGCCUCACUUAGUCAUCAAUCUCUCCAGUCUCUCGGGCUCACAAAAAUCAUGAUAAUCAGCCCAAACAAUGAUGAUAUGAUGUAUCAAUAAAUGGCAACAAACUAAGAUAUGAUAUGCAAAUAAUAGCUGUGACUGAGUGCAUAAUUGUAAUUUAAACAAAUAAUUCAACAUGCAACACGACUUAUGUGGGUCCCAGCAGUACCAGUAUGUAGCCUAAGCAUGAUUUCUAACAUGACUUGCAGCUCAAUUUCUCUAACACAGGGAGAAUAUACGGAUAACGACAAGAUUUUUCAACUAUACAGUUCCAUGGAAUUGACCAAGUCACAAUUCCUACGGUGCACGCCCACACGCCCGUCACCUAGCAGGUGCGUCACCUCAACACCAAUCACAUAACACGUAAUUCGAUGUUUAAUACCCUCAGAACUAAGUUUAGAAGUGUUACUUACCUCAAACCGUGCAAAUCACUACUCCAAUAAGCCCUUGCCUAGCGAAUCGACCUCCAAAUGUCUCGAAUCUAGCCACAAACAAUUUGAUACAAUCAACACGAGCUAAAGGAAUCCAUUUCGUAAGAAAAUACUAAGUUCUUAAUCAUAAGUCAAAAAGUCAACUCAAAAGUCGACCCCCGGACCACAUCUCGGAAUUCGAUAAAAGUUUCAAAAUCCGGAAGCCCAUUCAACCACGAGUCCAACCAUACCAAAUUUAUAAAAUUUCGAUACCAAAUCACCGCUCAAAUCCCCAAAUUAAACUCUCCAAAUCCCUAGCCUUAAAACCCCAAAAUUCCACCUAAAAACACAUAAACUAGGUGGGAAAUUCAAUGGGGAAAUAAUAUUAUUGAAUAAAAAUGAUCACAAGUGACUUACCUCAAGAAACCCUUCAAAUUCCCGCUCAAAAAUUGCCUUAAUCCGAGUUUGCAAAGUCAAGAAAUAAUAAAAACCUCGGAACCCAACGUUUAUAUUCUGUCCAGGGCUUUUCGCACUUGCGACAAACUUACCCACAUCUGCGGUGUCGCAGAAGCGACAAAUCCUCCGCUUUUGCGGUUCUCCCGGAGACUCAUGCUCCCGCACCUGUGCGACCUUUUUCGCAUAUGCGCUCUCACAGGUGCGGAUAUACCAUCGCACCUGCGCAAGUCCCCCAGCUGACCCAACUCGCGCUUUUGCGCCCAAUACGCCGCAUUAGCGACCACGCAAGUGCGGAAAAUAACCUCACACCUGCGACCACUUCCCACUUCCUUCCAGGCCACUUAUGUGAUGUCCACCAUGCAUAUGCGGCCUCACACCUGCGACCAUGACCUCCGCAAGUGCGAUUACACCAGUCCAGAACUCUUCAGCAUUUUCUCGAGUCCAAAAUUUGAUCCGUUAACCAUCCGAAACCAACCCGAGGCCCUCGAGACCUCAAUCAAACACACCGACAAGUCCUAAAGCACGAUACGAACUUAGACGAGCCCUCAAAUCACAUCAAAAACACGAAUCGCACCUCAAUUCAAGCCUAAUGAUAACUAGGAAUUCCAACUUCUAUAAUCGAUGCCGAAACUUAUCAAAUCAAGUCCGAUUGAGCUAAAAUUUUGCACACAAAUCAUAAAUGACACAAUGGACCUACUCCAACUCCCAGAACCAAAAUCCAAGCCUCGUAACCACGAAGUCAACUCUCAGUUAAACUUCUCAAUUUUCAAAACUUUUUAAUUUUCCAACUUUCGCUAUUUCAAGCCUAAAUCAAAUACGAACCUCCAAAUCAGUAUCCGGACUCACUCCUAAGUCCAAAAUCAUCCAACUGAGUUAUCGAAACUGUCAAAACUCUAUUUCGGAGCCAUUUACACAUAAGUCAACAUCCGGUCAACCUUUUCAACUUAAGCUUUCAACCAUGAGACUAAGUAUCUCAACUCAAUCCGAAAUAUCUCCGGAACCAAACCGACUAUCCCGUCAAGUCACAUAACACAAUUUAGCAUAGUAUAAGUAGUAAAUAGGGGGAACAGAGCUACAACAUUCAAAACGACCGACCGAGUCGUCCAAGACCAUAGUGUCAUGAAGCUUAAGUGUAGCAUUAAAACCCUUGGGAACCUGAGCCGGACCCAGUGGAACAACAUUAAUUGGAGCCUGCUACGCUACUGGAGCUACAAAGUUGGCUCCUCAGAAACUGAUUUAGCACGAGCACAACGAAUUACAGGUGCUUCAUCUCUCACAGGUGCAACCAUACGUGCUUUGGCUUGCCCUCUAACCUUGCCCCGACCCCUACCUCUCCCGGCUCUUGCCUAGGGUAUUGUCUCCUACUGAGCUGCUGUGAAAGAAUAUGUUCUCACCAUCUAUGAGAAAAUAAAAUAGCAAAGAUUCAAACUUUAGGAUGAAAUAAAGUCACACGAUAGAGAAGGAAUAAAGUGAAGUUUCCUAUUUGUCAUGUAGCCUCUCGAAGAUAAGCACAAACGUCUCCAUACCGAUCCACACGAUUCUACUAGAAAUACUCAAGGCUCGUAGAACCCAUGAUCCUAGAGCUCUGAUACAAACUUUGUCACGACCCAAAAUUCCACCAACAGUCAUGAUGGUACCGAAUGCCCAAUGCUAAGUAAGCCAAAAUGUAACAUAGAUCAAAACAAACAAAACAAGAUAUAAUAUAGUAGAAAUAACAUAAAUUGCGAAAUAAAUCUUUCAACAACGGGAUGUAUAAAGAUACUACAACACCAACUACUCAAAACCUGAUAGUACGGAGUCUUGAGCUCUAAAACAAAGUAUAAUGAAAUCUCUCACUAUACAAUACUGUUUGAAUAUAGAUAACAGUAUGAAAACAUGGGAAGAGGACUCCAAGGUUCUACGAAUGAUCAUGCAGCACUAUCUCGGGUCUCCACUGAUUGCUACUAGGCUCCCUCCUAAAGUUCACUACUGCCAAUGCUUGGAUUUGCACAAAAAUAUGCAAAAGUGUAGUAUGAGUAUGGGAAACUUAUACUCAGUAAGUAUCAAGACUAACCUCGAUGAAGUAGUGAUGAGUUUCAAGUCAUGUGAUACCUACUAAUGAAAUAAAUCUUUAUAGUUCAUAAUUAUUCACAACACUGUGAAAAGAGAUACAAUAUCGUCAAAGAUCAUAGCAAGAAAUAUCGACUCAACAUGGAUAAUUCUAUCUAGACUAACAAGUCAAAAUCACAUAAUAGAUGCAUCAAGUAGCAUGUUAGCAUUCAACAUAGAAAGCAUAGAAAAGGCAUGAAAAGGUAUAAGGGAUUAGAAAGCAUAGAAAAUGCAUGAAAACGCAUAAGGGAUUCACUUAAAUGGUCAAAGCGUCCACCUUUAUGCUCAAAACUCAUCACAUCGGAUCCCAUAUCACAAUCAACUAGAAACCUGUCAAUUUCUCACAAACUGCGUGUAUGCCAUCAAUAGCGAAACAUGAGAGGCGGAGACUUUAAAGGGCGGAUCCAUAUCCACACGCUGCACGGCAAUGACCUCAUGCCAUAGUAGUGACUAUGUCACCUCAACUACAUAUGAGAAACCCCAAGCAAGAAGAGUAAAAAUAUCACAAUGACCGCACGACAAAAACCUCGUGUCAUAGCCAAAUCAAUCCGCUCAACAUGUCCAAAUAUGCCAUAAUCAUAACAAUCUAAAAUAAUAGUUAAUCUUUAAAGAGGCAUAUGCUCAAAAAUAAUCAAUAAGAUGCACAAAAAUAUGAUAAAUAAAAGUGCAGAUGUGUGCUCAAGAUCUAAAGUAUGACUAUGGCUAAAUCAAGUAUAACAACAAUUUCACAAAUAGCUAAUCUUGGCCAAUUACAAAGUUGUAAUCCUAAAGAUGGAUACUAUAAUGAAAGGAAUAGCUCACGUAGGCAUACAAUUAAUUUGAACAUGAAUCAUAGAAGGCACACAACAAAACAAGGUAUAAUAAAACCCUAAUGAUUACAAUUGAGCAAGAAUCAUAUAUAGCACAUGUCCUGUAUGUAUGUUCAUCACCUCACAUAUACGUUGCUUCCCACAAAUUACAAUUGAGCAAACAAGGUCAUCUCCCAAUGAUUAGUCCCUCACAAUAAUGUUAGGCAAGAUACUUACCUUAGUGAGCCUAAUCAACCCUCCAAAAUCUCCUUUCCUAUAGCAAUCACCUCCACCUAGCUCGAAUCUAGCAAAAAAAUAACUUAAUAGAGUCAAAUAACGUCAUAGGAAUCAAUUCCAAAUAAUAGAGUUUUAAUUUUUAAUCAAUUUCAAAAAAGUCAACAAAAGUCAACCAGGGGCCACAUGGUCAAAACCUAAGUUAAGGGGUAGAACCUGAUCACCCAUAACCCCACGAGUUCAAAUAUAUGUUUGGUUUUUGAAACCAAGUCCGAAUCAUAGCUCAAAACCUCAAUAUUUACUCUCUUAAGCUAUAGGCAAAAACCCCAAAUUUUCAUAUUUUGGGUGUUAAUAAUCCAUGUAGAUUCUUGAAAUAUAAUGACAAAUGAGUAAAUAUCACUUACCCUUUAGUCUUGUAAAGCUCCUUAAACAAAUCGCUCCUCUUCAAGUCUAGGGUUCAACAUAUGAGAGAAUGGGCUAAAAUCCUAAAAUCCUCAUAUAAAUAUUGCCCUGGGGUACUCAUCGUGAAUGCUGCCUAAGCAUCGCAUUUGCGAAGCUCAAACCAGCCUCUCCAAAAAUUCCUCCUUCGUGAUCGUGGAAGCACCCCCAUGAUCGGGAAGCCUCGCUUGCUAUACCUUCGAGAAUGCGACAAUAGCCUCGUAAAUGUGAUGCCUUCCUACCCAAACUGCUCCACGAAUGCGACCACCCUCUUGUGAAUGCGAAGGCCUUCCCCCAGUUCCCAACUCCCCCAUCGCUAAUGCGACUGCCCCAUCGCAUACGCAAUGAAUAACUUCCCAGCUCCAAAAUAACCCUCUGCUAUCGCAAGACCUUCUCCGCGAUCGCGAAGCACAUUAGACACUAGAAAAAUCUGCAACUCUAAAAAUGCUUUGGGUGGUCUGAAACUCACCUAAGUCACGUGGGACCCCGUCCAAUCAUACCAUCAAGUCUGUAAAGACUACCCAGACCUAUCCAAGGCCUCCCCAACCACAUAUACAGAAUCAUUAAAUCUAAGAAUCAAAUAUUAAAUCACAAGUUGAAUUUAUCUUAAAUUCAAGCACGUCUAAUCAUCCAACCAAGCAUUUGAUUCAAGCCUAACCACUUUGGAUCUCAACCAAUCUUUGCAUAAAAGUUUCAUACGACAACACGAACAUAUCGAAAGUUGAGGUACAACAAUAAGAGUCUGGUAUCAUCAAAGUCAAUUAUCGGUCAAACUUAUAAACUCUUCAAUUCUUCAAAUUGUCAACUUUUGACAAAUAGAGUCAAAAUCUUGUAGGAACCUCCAAAUCAAAAUCUGAAUAUACACUUAAGUCCAUAAUCACCAUACGAACCUAUCAGAAUCCUCAACAUCCCAAUUCCAUGGUCUUUUAGUCAAAAAUCAAACCUUAUUCAACUCUUCCAACUUAAAACUUCUAAAAUAAAACCAAGUGUUACAAAUUACUCUCGAACCCCAUGAAAACCAAAUCACCCAUCCCCGCAAGUCAUAAAAUAUCAACACACAUACUAAAAAUAUUAAAUAGAGGAAUGGGGUUCUAAUACUCGAAAUGACUUGUUGGGUCAUUACAUUUAUAUACUUGUUGUGGUGUUUGGACUGGGGCUCGAGUGAGUUUUGGGGUGGUUUCCUACCAUUUUUGCACAAAUUGCCGUAGUUGUUAUGCUAUUGGAUCAUUGCGCAUCGCGAACGCGGAGCUAUCUUGUGUUCGCAUAGGGAGAUUUAGGAUUGGGGGAAAUUUACACUCCGCGAACAUGGAGGGCUGACCACGAACGCGAAGGCUCGGGGGAGUUUGCCCUCGUGAAUGUGAUCGCUCUUACGCGAACGCGUAGAAUUUUGGGGCUGGGUGGAUUUUCUUCAUCACGAACGUGAUAGUGGGGUCGUGAAUGCAGAGGCAAGGGGGGAAUGGCCUUCGUGAAAGCAAAGCAACUUGCACAAACACGAUGGUCAGUUCACCAUUAGCCUUCGCAAAAACGGGAGGUGCAUCGAAACGCGAAGAACACCUGAAACCAGGGUAAAAGUGCAAAACAUCAUGAUUUAGCCACUUUCAUUCUUGAGACCUAGGCUACGGAUGGAGGAGAUUUUUUGAGAGGAUUACCACCCCAACUUCUAAGGUUAGUAAUUUUGACUUAGUUUUGACUUAAUUCCAUGAUUUCUCGUAGAUUUUCACCCUUAAAUCUAGAAAUUUGAUGUGUAUGAAUUGGGGUUUUGGGAAAAUAUUUAAGAGAACUAAUUAUGGGGAUUUAGACCUCGAUUUGAGGUCUGAUUUGAUACAAACGACAUAUUUGGACUCGGGAAGAAUGGGUAAUCAAGAUUUGAUCUUGAUUUCGGACUUCGACCAAGUGGGCCCGGGUUAACAUUUUGUUGACCUUUUCAAUAUGAUAAAGGUUGAACUUUUUUAUAGUAGGAUAGUUUCUAAAGCGUUUUUGACUUAUUUGAGUAAUAUUUGGCUAGAUUCGAGUUGUUUGGAGGCUUGUGCUAAAGGGAUAGCGAUAUUUGAGGGUUGACUUGUUUUGGAAGGAGGUAAGUGUAUUGGUUAACCUUAAUUUGAGCGAAUUAGAUUCCAUUUGUGGUCUAUUUUCUACGUGCUAUAUGUGUUAGGGGCGACGUAUAUGCAUGGUAACGAGUGUAUAUGUAUUUGACAUGGUUAAAGCAUGCGGGUAGAUCUAACGUUAUUUAUGCCUUGUUUGCUUCAUGUAUUAUUUCUCAUAUGCUUUAGUUAGUUCGUGAAGUUACUUGUUUAUUCAUAUACAUGCUACUAACUAUAUUUAAGAUUUGUUGAGAUAUUUGGACAUUAUAGUUCUUGAAAUGUUGGUUCAUCUAUUGCUGCAACGGCCAUGAUUAUUUCUUACACGGCAUAUUAUGUUUAAUCACUCUCGUUAAUAUUAUUUAUGCUUCUCACCUUGCUUGGUAUUUAUUUACAUAUGCUUGGUGAGGAUGAGUGAUUAUGAAAGAAGGGAGUUUCCUUGCUGUGAGGAUGAGUGAUUAUGCACGAUGAGUAUUUACUUGCUAUGAGGUUGAGAUACAUUGUACGACAAGUCUUUCAAUGUUGUGAGGUUGAGAGAUAUUACAUGACGAGUAUUUUCGUGCCUUUAAGGAUGAGUGAUAUAUGCACAUGGAGUAUUUCCGUUCUAUUUUUUAUGAUAUUUCUACUCAUUUCUUUGUUUUUGUCGAUUUGUUGACUCGACUAUAUGUUAUUCUUUUGGAUUUGAGUUGUGGACACAGGUUUGGUUGUGAUAUUGGGAAGCAUGAUGGUUAUUCCCUUUAAUUACUCCUUUUACUAUUUCUCAUACUUACUCUUAUUAUUUCUCUGAUAAUUUAUCUUGUUAUGUUCUUAUUUGUUCUAUUGCUUAUUAACCACAUAGGUUUAUAAAGUAGGUGUUUUGUCUUAGCCUCGUCACUACCUCGUCGAGGUUAGCUCAACACUUACUGAGUACCUUGGGUCGGUUAUACUCAUACUAUACUUCUACACUUCUUGAGCAGAUUCAGGCAUUGAUACCAGCAGAGUCUUGAGAGGUGCUGAGUCGUUACCAGUCAGGAGAUUCGAGGUAGUGUUCCAUACUCGUUCGUAGGCCUUGAAAUCACCUAUCCAUUGUCUCUAUUACUAUUUAAUUGUAUUAGACAACAUUGUAUUCUUUUCAAACAUUAUAUUUAGUACUCAUUAGGUCUCAUGUACUCAAUGACACCAGUCUUGGGAGAUUGUUAUGUCAGAUGAUGGUUUUAGACUUAUUAUGUUGUUAUAGGAACUUUUACUCUUUAUCUAUGAUAAAAUGUUGCUAAAUGUUUAGUAUUGCUUCUUUAUUUACUGUUAUGUGUUGGCUUGCCUAGCACGUAAGGUUAAGCGCCAUCACGACCCUUCGGUUGGAAUUUUGGGUCGUGACACAAGGCCUGCAAACACAUUAAAACACUACAUCCAAGAAUCGAAGAUCAAACCACAAGUUGAACUUCUUUUAAGUUCAAGAACAUCUAAACUUCCAACCAAGUAUCUGAUUGAUGCCUAAAUACCUCGGAUCUCAACCAAAAUUUGUACACAAGUUUCAUUCAACCAAAUGAACCUAUUCAAAAGUCCCGGAACACCAAACGUAUUAAGAUAAAAUCAAAGUAAAUUAUCGAUCAAACCUAUGAAUUCUCCAUUUCGUCAAAUUACCAACUUACGAUAAAUAGAGUCAAAAAUCUUCUAGGAAUCUCCUAAACCAAGUCCGAACAUAUGCCCAAGUCCAAAAUUACCAUAUGAACUUAUUAGAAUCAUCAUAUCACCAAUCCGAGGUCAUUUAUUCAAAAGCCAAUCCUUGGUCAAUUCUUAUAACUUAAGCUUCCAAAAUAGAACAAAGUGUUCCAAUUCACUUUCACACCUUCCUGAAACCAAACCAAACCAACCAUCCCCACAAGUCAUAAAACAUUAAAUGAAACUAUGGAAAGCAUCAAAAUAGGGGAACGGGGCUCCAAUACUCUAAAUGGUCGGUAAGGUCGCUAUAUUCGACCACUCUUAAACAAACGCUUGUGAUCAAAUGGGUUUAGAAUCAUAUGUGUGAUCCAAAAUAUAUGAGGAUAUAUGCUCCACAUAUCAUGCUCGGUCUCCCAAGUUGCUACCUCGACCAGUUUACCUCUCCAUUGAACUUUCACUAAUGUAAUCUCUUUCUACCGCAGCUUCUGAACCUGCCUAUCCAUGAUGUCCUCUGGCUCUUCUUCAUAAGCUAGGUUCUCAUCCAACUACACUAAACUAAAAUCUAACACACGUGACAUGUCUUUAUGAUACUUCUGAAGUAUGAAAAUAUGGACUAUCAGAUGAACUCCCAACAAGCUGGGUGGCAAAGCAAGCUUGUAAGCCACCUCACCAACUCUCUCUAAAAUCUAAAAUUGACCAAUAUACCUAGAGCUCAACUUGAACUUCUUCCCGAAUAUCAUCACGCUUUUCUUAGAAGAAACCCUCAGAAGUACCUUCUCUCCCUCCAUGAAUUCUAUAUAACGAAUCUUUCUAUUAGCAUAACUCUUCCGCCUGGAUUGUGUUGUAUAAAGCCGCUCCUGAAUCAACUUCACCUUCUUCAAAGCAUGACGAACCAAAUCAAUACCCAACAACCUAGCCUCCCUAGGCUCAAACUAAUCAACUAGAUAACGACACCGUCUCUUAAAAAAUGCCUUAUACGGAGCCAUCUGGAUACUGGACUAGUAGCUGUUGUUGUAAGAAAACUCCGUGAAUGGUAGAAAAUGAUUCCAAUGGCCUCCAAAUAAUGCAGGCUCUCAACAUUUCCUCAAGGAUCCGAAUAAUCCGCUAUGACUGACCAUAAGUAUGUGGGUAAAAUAUAGUGCUAAGCUCCACCUGUAUGCCAAACUCUCGCUGAACAGCUCUCCAAAAAUACGAUGUGAACAAGUACCCCGAUCUAAAAUGAUAGAAACAGGCACACCAUGUAAAUGUACAAUCUCUCUAAUGUAGUCUGAGCCAACUUCUCGUAAGUGUAAGAAGACAUGACCGGAAUGAAAUAUGUAGACUUGGUCAACCUAUCCAUAAUGACCCAAAUAGCAUCAAACUUCCUCAAUGUCUGUGGCAAUCCUAUCACAAAAUCCAUAGUAAUGCACUCCCACUUCUACUCUGAUAUAUCUAACCUCUGAAGCAAACCACUUGGUCUCUGAUGCUCAUACUCGAUUGCUGACAAUUCAAACACCGUGAAACAUGUCCAAUAAUGUCUUUCUUUAUCCUUCACCACCAAUAAUGUUGCUUUAAAUCAUGAUACUUCUUCAUAUUACCUAGAUGAAUAGAAUAGCUCGAACUGUGAGCCUUUUCAAGAAUCAACUCCCUCAAAUUAUCCACAUUAGGAACACAAAUCCGACUAUGGAGUCGCAAUACACCAUCAUCACCAAUGACCACCUCCUUAGCAUCACCUCGCAACACCGUGCCCUUAGGGACAAAAAAAUAGGGAUUAUCAUACUAACGAGCCUUAAUGUGCUCAAACAAGGACGAUUGUGCAAUAACACAAAAAGAACUAUAUUAGGCUCGAAAAUAGCCAAUCUAACAAAUCCAUUGGCCAAAGCCUAAAUAUGCAUAGCAAAAGGCCUCUCCAAAACUAGAAUAAAUAGCAAACUCCAUAUACUCUCCAUCAUGCUACUCAAAGCAUCCGUUAUCAUAUUUGCCUUACCCGGAUGAUACAAUAUAGUGAUGUCAUAAUCCUUCAACAACUCCAACCACCUCCUCAAAUUCGAAUCCUUCUUCUUGAACAAAUUUUGAAGGAUUCGAUGAUCAGUGUAAAACUCACAUGACACAUCAUACAAGUAAUGCCUCAAAAUCUUAAGUGCAUGCAUAAUAGCUCCAAACUCCAAAUCGUGAAUUGGAUAAUUCUUCUCAUGGAGCUUCAACUGCCGUGGUGCAUAGGAAAUCACCUUACCAUCCAGCAUCAACAACGCACCAAGAACAACGAGCGAAGCAUCACAAUAUAUUUUGUAAGACCCUGGACUUGUGGGCAACACUAACAUUGGAGUUGUAGUCAAAGAAGUCUUAAGCUUCUAAAAGCUCCCCUCACCCUCAUUAAACCAUCUACAAGGAACACAUUUCUAAGUCAACUUGGUAAAUAGGGCUAUAAUAGAUGAAAAUUCCUCCAUAAAAUGGCGAUAUUAGCCAACCAAACCCAAAAAACUCUUAAUCUACAUAGUUGUCUAAGGACUAGGCCACCCCCGAACCCCCUCAAUCUUCUUCGGACCCACCUUGAUGGUCACCACGAGGCCGAAGAAUGCAACCAAAUCUAACAAAAACUCGCACUUGGAAAACAUAGCAUAUAACUUCUUCUCCCUCAGAAUCUAAAGCACGAUCCCCAAAUGAUGCUUAUGAUCCUCCCUAAUACGGGAAUAUACCAAGAUAUCAUCAAUGAAUACAAUGACAAAACAAUCCAAAUAUUGUUGAGACACACUGUUCAUCAAGUGCAUAAAAGCUACUAGAGCAUUAGUCAAACCAAAGGACAACACCAAGAACUCAUAAUGUCCAUAACUAGUCCUCAAAGUCGUAUUAGAGAUAUUCGAAGCCCUAAUCUUCAACUAGUGAUAACCUAAUCUCAAUUCAAUCUUAGAGAAUACACUGGCGCCCUGAAGCUGAUCAAACAAGUUAUCAAUACGAGGUAAUGGGUACUUGUUCUUUAUAGUAACCUUGUUCAACUGCUUGUAAUCAAUGUACAUACACAUAGAACCAUCCUUCUUCUUCACAAACAACACUGGCGCACCCCAAGAAGAAACACAGUCUAAUGAAUCCCAUAUCCAUCAACUCCUGCAAUUGCUCCGUCAAUUUCUCUAACUCAACUGGAGCCAUGCGAUCGGUGGAAUUGAUGUGGGCUGAGUGUCCGUCAUCAAAUCAAUGCCAAAAUCAAUAUUCCUAUCGGGUGACAUGAUUGGUAGAUCUGCAGGAAACACAUCUGGAAGUUCCCUCACUACUGGAAUGAAUUAAUAGUAGGAGUCUCAGUAGUAGUAUCCUUAACAAAAUCCGGGUACGCCAAACACCCUUUCUCAAUCUUCCCCGGAUCUUUCAAAAAUAAAAUAGCCCUACUAGUUGUAUGACCAAGAGAAUCCCUCCAUUCCAACCUUGGUAAUUCCGGCAUUGCCAAUGUCAUAGUCUUAGGGUGAUAAUCAAGAAUGAAAUGAUACGGAGAUAGUCAAUCCAUAUCCAAAAUCACAUUAAAAUCUAUCAUUUUCAGCAAAAAAAGGUCAACCUUAGUCUCAUAACCCCCAUCGAUGACCACACAGGAUCGAUAUACACGAUCUAUCACAAUGGAAUCCCCGAUAGGUGUAGAUACAUGAAUAGGAAUAUCAGGAGAUUCACAAGGCAUAUCUGAAUAAGAAGAAAAAUAUGAUGACACAUAUGAAUAAGUAGGCCCCAUAUUGAGCAACACAUAAGCAUCUCUAUUACAGACUGAAACUACCCAUGUGGUCACAGCAACUGAGGUUACUACCUCGGGUCUACCAGGAAAAGCAUAGCAAUGAGCCUGUCCGCGGCUGGUAGGACCUCCAAUGACCUAACCCCCUUCUUUAGAGUGACCUCUCAUUACAUAUCCUCUCCCUCUAGUUGACUAUGCAAAGGGUGAUGCAACUGGUACGGGAACCACUAACUGAGAACUUUGCGGAGUUGUGCCUUUACCACACCCGGGGCAAUACUUCCUCACAUGGUUGAUGUCUCCACACUCAUAACAACCCACGGCUGAAUGAGGUUGAUGAACUUGAAACUUCCCCUGAUGAUCGGAGUACCCACUAGGAGAACCCUAACUAGACAGAGCCUAGUACGAAUUCACUGGAAAAGCACUAAAAGAUGAUGGAACUGGAGUGCUAAAUGAUGGUCGAGAUACUACACCACGUGCUACAUGCUGAGUAGAAUAAGCUAACCUGCCAUAAUGGCCUCUAGCAAACCGACCCCCCCCCCCUUCCAGAUGAGGUACCAUUGAAACUACCACAAUGGCGAGGCCUCCUAUCCCUCAUCAUGGCCUCUCUCCCCGGAAUACAAAUACGCUUGCUCCUCUGGGCUAUCUCCUCGACAUGAUGGAAUGUAGUCCCAACCUCUAACUCUCGUUCCAUAGCAAGACUAAUGCAAUAAGUCGAACCCUCAAUAAAUAGCCUCGCCCUCUUUACCAUGAUAGGGAUCAAGAAAGCUUCAUGGCGAGAAAACUAUGUGAACCUCGCCUCAUACUCGGUCACUAACAUAUAUCCUGUUGAAGAUGCUCAAAUUGUUCUCUCAAUCCAUCCCUCCUGGUGAGUGGGAUGUACCUCUCAGGAAAUAAAUGCGAAAACUAAGUCCAUGUAAGAGGAGAUUCACCCGCUGGCUUGCCCAGCGCAUAAGUCUGCCACCAUCUCCUCGCAUCACCUCUCAGUUGAAAUGUAGUGAAGUCCACUCCAUUGGACUUUAUCAAACCCAAAUUAUAAACUAGCUUGUGACAUCUAUCUAGAAAGUCUUAAGCAACCUCUGAAGAACCACCCUCGAAGUGAGGAGGAUGUAGCCUCUGAAACCUAUCUAUUCUCUUUUACUCCUCAACAGACAUGGCAGGCACAACCUAGCCCCAACUGGCAAUAUGCCUUAAACAUUGUUGUUGGUUACUCCUGAGUAUGAGUGGCAGGGCUCUCAGCUCCCCCUCCAGCCUGAGAUAUUGGUAGGGGGAACUGGAACCACUCCAUCCAGAGUCAAGGCAUCAAUGAAACUGACCAUUUUGGCCAUAGCCUCUUGGAACCAUUGUUGAGUCAACCGACACUGCUCUAGUGCACUCACGGGCCCCAAGGGAUACUCCACAUCUAGCUGUGACUGUGCAACCCCGGGUGGGAGACUUGGCCUUACCUCGAGCCUGUCUUUCCCUAUAACCGCUGGUACUACGUCUCGCUCACCUGUUGUUGCUGAAACAUGCGUUCUCACCAUCUAUGAGAGAGUAGAAUAGAAAGAUUUAGACUUAGACAAUAUUCAACGCAUGAUAAGGAAUCAAGAAAACAAAAGUUCCUAAAUCCCUAUAGACUCUCGCAAUAGAUACUGACAUCUCUAUACCGAUCUACAAUACUCUACUAGGCUUGCUCGUGACUUGUGAGACCCUUGGAACCUAGAGUUCUGAUACCAACUUGUCAUGACCCAAAAUCCUAUCUAAGGUCGUGAUGGUGCCCAGCUCGCUUACUAGGCAAGUCAACACUUACCAACAAUAAUAGAAUCUAAUUAUUAAGUCAUUAUCAGAUUUAUGAUAUAGAUAUGAAAGCGCAACCAGUCUCAAAAUAGUAUCAUAAUAUACAUAUGUCCAUGAUAGCGUAUGAACACAACUACAACUGUUAAUCAAUGCCCAAAAUCGGGUGUAAUAAUGUUACAAGCAUCUAACAAGAGUAAAUAGUUGAUUGUAGGCAAUGAACAUGUGUUUUAGCCGCAUUCUGCACUCUAAUUACUGCACUUUGAGCGUGUUUGAGCAUAAAUGAUGGUGAUUUGUACUUAUUACGUGUUUUAUGCUUUGUAGGAGAUGAUUCCGAGUUAAGAAGAAGUUCUGAAGCUAAAUCGAAUAAUUGAAGCUUUGAAGUCUGAGUAAAAGCCAAGGAAUUAAACCGGGACCAAGUCCGGGGCUCGUGGACCGGCAUUGCAUACAAAAAUUGGAAGAAAGUGCAAGGGUUAUGACAUUUGUACUAAUGCUUCGCCCCAUGCGUAGCACAGUGCAACGCAUCAGUGCAAAUAUGCGUCAAAAAUUUGAGAAGUUCAGAGACUUGUAGUUUUUGGGUGUGACAGAAAAAUACACUAAUGCUACGCAUAGUGCGUAGCAUCAGUACAAAACUUUGUCAGACAAGCUAAGUUCAGAAAGUUUACAACCGAGCAAAUUGCACUAAUGCUACACACCCUACGUAGCAUAGUGCGACGCAUGAAGUGUAAAAAGUUUGUAGGUUUUCCCACUUCGGGUCAAAGAGGGUAGUUUUGUCCGGGUUCAUUCCUACUUGGUAUAAAUACACUAGAUACACAUUUUUAGGGGCCUUUUGACCUUGGAAGCUUUGGGAGAGCAUUGGAGCCUACAAGACACAAGAUUUCAUCAUCUUUCCAUCAAUUCAAUACGGGAGUUUGCAUUAUAGCGUUAAAUUGAUGUUUUCUUAUUCUUUAGUUAUAUUUGUGAUGACUUUCUCCGUGAUUAUGGAGUAGUUUCCCUUAGUGUUUGACGGAUAUGGUAUUUUAUUUGAUAUUUGUGGAUUUUAACUCUAGUUCUUUGCUUGAAUUCGCUUAUGGAGCUUUGAAUUGAUUGCAACUUUAUUCACCGAUUUAUUUAAUCGAAGAGGAAUAUUUUGGUGAUUAUCUUUGCAUUAUUUGGUAAAGUUUAAUUCAGUGAUUCUCUUAAAUAAUCGAAAGAGCUUGUUGAAUUGUUGAUUAAAUCAAGUUAGGAGAAUAUUCGAGAGACGUUUUCCUGAAGACUAAUCCAUUAACGCAUGCUCGCAUAUCUUCAUAGUGCUUAUAUUAGUUCACCUCGUAGAGUUAAUAUUUAAUCGAGAGAGGACUCUUGACUACACGUUUAAACUAAUCAUCAACUGAAUUCGUGAAAAUCAUUAGAACAUUAGAGUGAAUUAAACUAGAGUUGGAUCCCAAAUAGCUAUCUUGCACCUAUCCUGUCAAAACCCUUAUUUCUCACAUUGGUAAAAACUCAACUCUGCUAAUCUCUAGUUCUUUGCAGCCAAUUGUCAUUUGCUUUACUUUAGUAGUUAAUCGUAGUUCAUAAUCAUUCCAAAUCAAGUUUUGAUCAUCCUGAAUAGUAGUUAAACCAGAAAUUACUAGAGCAUUAUUUAAAUCCAAUCCAUGUGAAGAAGAUAAUUUAACUAUACUAUCUUUGGCUAGGGAGCAUUAAUUUUGGGUUGUGUUUUGCACUCGUCAAAUUUUGGCGCCGUUAUCAGGGAUUGGCAACCGAUAGUGUUCAAAUUAGUUUUUUGUUGCUAAUUCAGAAAUUUUUAUUUUAUUUUAUUUUAUUCUUCACGGGUUUCCUCUUCCAUGUGCAGCCAAUAGAUUGACUCCUUUGGUGUAUGACUUGAUCUUCUUCAAAGGAAUUGAUUCCAUACAAUCUAGAGGUGGAAAAGAGUCUACGACAGUUGAGGAAAGAGAAAGAACUCACCGAAAAAUUUUUGGGGCAACCUUUAACCAAGAACACAUGGAUAAAAAUGGUGAGGACAAAGUAGAUUUAGCUGAAAGAGAGGCAGCACAACAGAGAUAAGAAGUUGCAUGGAUAACAGCUGAGGCAUCCCGUAGAGCUGCUGAUGAGACCGUCGACGAUGAUGGGGGUCGAAGAUUCAAUCUAAAUCGACCAUUGGUUGAAGACUAGUUCGAGAAUGCGGUACCUAGGCCUGGUAGAGCACUGUGUGAUUAUGCCAGACCAGUCUACAAUUAGAGACUGUCCAGUGUCAGACCUCCACCACUAGCAGCGAAUAAUUUCGAGUUGAAGCAAGGCUUACUUCAAACUAUUCAGAACAACUGUCUUCAUAUGGAAGGUGAAUGAAGACCCUAACACUCACUUGUCAGAUUUUGAGGAAAUCAUGAACACCUUCCAGUACAAUAGAGUGUCAAAAGAUGCAGUAUAUUUAAGGGCAUUCCCCUUUUCUCUGAAGGAUAACUCAAAGCACUGGCUUCGUAGUUUACCAAUGGGGUCGAUCCGGACAUGGGAAGAUAUGAUUAAAAAGUUUCUUGACAAAUACUUCUCAACUGCUAAAACAAUGAAAUUCAGAAGGGAAAUUCACAACUUCUCCCAGAUGGACACCGAAACAUAAUGGGAUUGAAUUGUGGAUGCAACUCCAAGACUUUUAGGAGGGACUGAAACCUCCCUCACGACGAACUCUGAACACUGCAGUUGGAGGUCCUUUAAUGAAGAAGACCCCUGAGGAGAUUGUUAUAAUUCGUGAUGAGCUCUCUGAAGAUGCUAACCAGUAGCCUGCAGAGAGUAAUGAUAGAAGAAAAUCAGUUGGGGUUCAUCAAGUAGAUUCUAACACAGUAGUGCAAGCCCAACUAGACGCCAUGGCCAAAGAGAUGAGAAAGUUGACCUUAGCCAAGGUCCAGAGCCAACCAUCACCAGUUUGUGAUUUCUCUGGAAUGGGACAUCCAACGCAUAAGUGUCAGGCCUUAGCUGCAGAUGAAGUGGUAAAUGUUGUGGGAAGCUUUGACAGAGACAACUACCAGAGUGGUAAUAAUUUUAACUCUAUGGGACAGAGGCACCCAAGCUUUUCUUGGAGUUCACCAAGUGGUGGCCUGAACUCAUGGCACAAGAAUAACUCCAGAUCCCAAGGACAAGGAGCUCCAGGUUUUCAAAAUCAGUAGAGGUAGCAAUAUCAGCCUCCAAAGUCUAAUCAGUCUACCAUGGAAGAUCUAAUGAUGCCUUUAUUAUUAAGACAUAUGAGAGGCUUGAAACCCAUAGCUCGGCUAUACUAGAACAUGUCCAACUAUCAAAGAAUUGGGCACAGCCUUUCGAAACCUGGAAAGACAGGUUGGGCAACUAGCUAGUCUAUUGUCUGAGAGGGUUCCAGGGACACUCCCUGCUGACACUGAAAGAAAUCAAAAAGAGACAAUAAAUGCAGUGUUUUUAAGGAGUGGGCAUGAGUUGGAGGAUUCCAUAGCAAAUCAAAACGAUGAGCCGAUUGAAAGACAGGUGGAGAUUGUGGAAGAGCAGAAAAAUGAUAACGUGCAAAAAGGUACAGGAAUGGUAGAUGAUGGUCUGAAAAAGAAGGGGAAGAUUAGAUCUCAGAAAAAGAAGAAGGAUGAUAAUGCAACAAAUAAUGAGACAGAAGAGAAUGACAGGUGGACAAUCAUGCUCUACACCUUUCCCCUAGAAGCAAAGAAGAGAAAGGUUGAACAAAUAAUUCGGGCGCUUUCUAGAAGUGCUCAAGCAGGUGCAUGUGAAUAUACCUUUCACAGAGGAGAAUAGGGAGGUCCCGCUGAUUUUAGGAAUACCCUUCUUGGCUAUGGGUAAAAUUCUAGAUAUUCAGGAAAGGCAGCUCAUGCUCAAAGUGGGGGAUGAAAGGCUAAUCUUCAAAAUGGAAGGAGAAAGGGGCGCCAUGAAAGAGCAAAUUGGAAAGAGUGAAACUGAUAAGUGUCGGGUGUACCCAAAGAAGGCGGAAAAAAAACUCUCAGUAUGGAUGUGUGCACUCGGUCGGGUGUGCAAAGGAGAUCCCGACUUCGAUUCAAACCCCGACUAGAUGAAUCAUGGAAGUUUUCUUUACCUCUUACUUUUCAUUUGUGUGUCACAGCGGCAUGGCCACAAUUUAAAGUGUGGGGUGGGGGAUGAUGUAAAUAUGUACAUAUAUGUUUUUUAUUUCGUUCGGAAAAAAAAAAUUAAUUUUUCCCGACGAUGGAAUUCCUCAGCCGUCUUCUUGAGGGAUUAAAGUCGAAGAAAAUAUUUUAGCCAUUUAUUUUUGUUUUGUUUUCUUAGGUAGUGUAACAAUUCCCCCUUGAUUUUUCUUUGUGCCGCGGUUCUCUUCCAAGGGUUUUGUUUGAACUGGAGUAGUUAGUUUUUCUUUUAUUAGGAAUAGUGAAGUCUUGUGCUAUGAUAUUAAAUGGAGAUGACUUUUCUUGACGUUGUUGUACCUUGAGAGUAGUGAGUGCCUUAGUUGUGAUUUCUAGGCUCAGUUCUUGACUCAUGUAUAAGUGCCUUAAAUUGUUUGAUUUUGACUUUGCUUAACUGCUUUGACUAGAGAGUUAGGAUGGAUUCGAUUCUAAGUGAGUUAUGUGUCAAUGUGUGUGAGAGAUUUUGUUGAUAUUCUGUGCAUGUCGGUUGAUGUCUAGAACUUGCCCCCGUGUGUUUGCAAAGAGAAAUAGUAAUCUUGUUCAGUCUAGGAAGUGAUAUAGGCAUUUCUUUGUUGAGCUAAUUAUAUGUUUUACCCACCUAAUUAUUGUGUAUCCUAGUUAUCCCCUUUGAGCCUAUAAUCCUACUUAUUUGACAACCACACAACAAGCAUGAUCCUUGUUUGAAUUGACUAUCUAUUUGAACCUUCUACCUCUCUUGAACGCUUGAUUUUGUUAUGAGCUUGUAAAAGCUAAGUGAGGUAUGGUCGGGUUUUUGAGUGGAACUAUUGAAAAAGGAGAAAGGUGCAUUGUUGGAAAUAAUUGUGAGAGCCACUUGUAGGGAAUUGAAAGGAAAAAAAAGUGAGUUUCCUUGAAAAGAAAAAAAAUCAGAACUUAGAAAAGAAAAAAAAUGGAUUCCUUGCUAGUAGUAGUUCUCAUCUUGUUUGUGCUUAAAGAAUUGGGAGUUGAUGCUAGUAUGUAUGAAGGUUGGGAUUUGGUUCAAAAUAAGUGUGGGAUUUUAAUUUUAAAAUUGUAUGUAUUAAAGUACUUAGGGAGGUGUAGUCACUAUUAUCUAUAUGUAUCCUACUUAUCCCGCAGCUUACAUUACAACCAAAUUAAGCCAUGCUUGAUCUUUGACUGAAUGAGCUCGAAUUAGUAGAAUAUUACACUACGGGCAAGCCUAUGGUACGUUUUCUGUAGCGCAUGAAUUUUAUUUCUGAGAGUGAGUGAAUUCUCUCUAUCUUGAAUUGCUAUUUGUUCUUGAAUUUUAGUGUGUGUGGAACUACUCUCUAUCUUUAGUGUGAGGCUCACAUAAUUUGCGAAGGAAAGGUAAUGUCUUUGGCCUCUGUGUUACAGUAAGUGAGCAAGUUUUUGACAAAUACGUGGUGCUUUUGAGUCGAGCCUUGAGGCUAGGAUGUUAUGAUAGGAUGUUUGACGAAUACACACUUAAAUUAUGCUCGCUAGUUAAAUAUAGUAUAGUAUAAUAUUGUAUCCACAUGGAUUGGAUUUAAACGGUAUUUUCGUAGUUUCUAACUUGAUUGUUAUCGAGGAGAAUCAAUAAUUGAGAUUUAUAUGAUGAAUAACUAAAAUUAACUAAGAAUCUAAAGCUAUUGACUAAUGACAAUCGAAACAAGAUUAUUCGAAAUGGGAUUAUUUAUUUAAUUACAAUCGCCACUUGGGAUAAUUAAUAUGGUGUCCCAAGUCACCAAUUUAUUUUAAAAUCUCAAAUCGAGGAAAUUGACUCUGUUUAAGUCCGCGAAAAUCAGAAGAUCGGGUAAGGAAUUAUGUUAACCCGGGAGAAGAUGUGAGGCACUCCCGAAUUUCAUAAUUUUAGCACGGCCGCUUUAAUCAUACCUGGCUUAAUUAAUUAUUUAAUUACGUGUUUUAGAACCUAUGUGCAUUUUAUCUUUCACCGCUUUUAAAUUACUUGAUUAUGGCGUUAUGGAAUUAUCUUGAAACGAACCACGUGUGUGUGAAUCCGUUUUAUUUAGUGCGCUAAAAAUCAUGCCACGCGUACGUGUACACAAUUAAUAACACUUUAUUAUUAUAAAGAUCGUUUCGCUCAAAGUUGCGUGAACGCAUACUUCGAUUUUAGUUUGGGAAUUAUGGUCAUGUCACGCGAACGUAUAAAUAAUCACGAUGAUUGAUUUAACUAAUAGCGUGCCUAAAGCAUACUAAUCGUAUUCAUAAUUUACUUAAGAUUAUUGUGAGGCCAAGAAUUAUGGACAAGAUAUUAUUUUGGAAGAAAUGAAGUAAACUAGUUAAGGAAAGGUGGGCUAGCUUAUUCAAUUAUUUCUCGUGGGCCUUAAAGAAUUCAUCUUAUUUGGCCCAAAUUUAUUCAAGACCUCAAAUCUGACCUCUCAAGUCCAGUGAACACCCGGCCCAAGUAAGUUAACAAAUAAUAGUCUAAUUACUGCUUUUGACCCAAAUCUCUUCUACAUCACCUAAGACCCAACAAAUUGUCUUAAAGAAAAUGGCCCAUCCUAUUCCCCAAACCAAAGGAAAAUCUCAAUUCUAAUUCUCUCUCAAAUAUCAAAAUAAUGCAAUUUAGCCAUAUCACACAAUUGAUCGGAAAAGACAACAAUCAAACAGAUUAGAAAGGGAAAUUAUUAAGCUAUCGGAAUAUCAUGCUCACAUUAGCUUGUAAGUGGACAAAUUCAUAGUUUCAAGCAUUCAUUAAUCUAGUUUCAAAUAAAAUAAACAAAUCAAAAGAGCAAACAAAGCAAUCAAAAGAGAAUAACCAGAGAAACAAUAUUUUAACAAAUCACAAAAAAGAAAAUAUCUAAUUAAAGAGAAACAACAGCAGUAAUUAAGAAAUGGAACUUCAGAGCAUAAGGUGAAGAAAAUGGACCUUCAUAUUAAAUUGCUUCAAACAACAAAGCUGGACUAAAUUUGGACAUUUAAUAGGGAACGACACUCGACCAAAAUCAACGGAGGGAGCUUGAACUCGACCUCGACGACUCAACUUUAGAGCUCGAACUCAUCUCGUUUUGCCGCAUUUUUUGGGGGCUGCUUGGGGUGUUUCAGAGCUGGUCUUUGACUGGGAUUUUGGGGUCGUUUUGGGUAGAAGAAGGCAGCUGGGUUUUGGUAGUUUUGAUGGGUGUUUCAGCUGGUGUUUUGGCUGGAUUAAAGGGAUGUUUUCGUGAUGAAAACGACGUGAAGAAGAUGAGGUUUUGAUGAGGACUUACUGCUUUACUGCUGUGUUUUGGGUGUUAAAGGGUGUAUUUUAGGUGCUGAUUUUGGGGGUUAGUUGUGCUGGUUUUCAGUGGUUAAAGGUGGCCUUACAUAGCUGAAAAUGGAGGAAAGAAAAUAGUGAUUUUAGGCGGAGGAAAAUGGUGAUCUAUGGUGGUCUUUGGGUGGAAGAAAAUGGAGUAAUAGUGGCUGUAUUUUUUGUGUUCAAUGACGGAAGGGAAAUGAAGGAGAUGAUGUUGGUUCAAGCUUUGUUGAAAGUUUUUCUUUUCUUCGCCUUUCCCGUUCCUUUCUCUUUUUCUGUUUUUUUGCUCCUCCCAGAACAGCUUUUUUAUCCACUCCCUCUGUUUUCCGUUUCUUCUCCACUCCGGUUGUUCUCCUUUUUUUGUGUGUG
rnacentral:lncRNA from 1 species